AAUUUUGCGCUUUGACCCUCCUUAGUUCAACCAAAUGAACUAAAAAUUUAAAAUGGCACAACUUUUUGGAAAACUAGUUCAUUUGUUUGAACUAAGGAGAGUCAGAGGGUACCCUG
rfam:Brachypodium distachyon strain Bd21 chromosome 2, whole genome shotgun sequence.